GAUGAACGCUGGCGGCGUGCCUAAUACAUGCAAGUCGAGCGAACGGACGGGAAGCUUGCUUCUCUGAUGUUAGCGGCGGACGGGUGAGUAACACGUGGAUAACCUACCUAUAAGACUGGGAUAACUUCGGGAAACCGGAGCUAAUGCCGGAUAAUAUUUUGAACCGCAUGGUUCAAAAGUGAAAGACGGUCUUGCUGUCACUUAUAGAUGGAUCCGCGCUGCAUUAGCUAGUUGGUAAGGUAACGGCUUACCAAGGCAACGAUGCAUAGCCGACCUGAGAGGGUGAUCGGCCACACUGGAACUGAGACACGGUCCAGACUCCUACGGGAGGCAGCAGUAGGGAAUCUUCCGCAAUGGGCGAAAGCCUGACGGAGCAACGCCGCGUGAGUGAUGAAGGUCUUCGGAUCGUAAAACUCUGUUAUUAGGGAAGAACAUAUGUGUAAGUAACUGUGCACAUCUUGACGGUACCUAAUCAGAAAGCCACGGCUAACUACGUG
rnacentral:rRNA from 1 species